rnacentral:lncRNA from 1 species
AUGGGAAAGAAACCUGGAAAGGUAGGGAGGUAUGGAUAUGGACAAGCUAUGCCAAGGAGCAGGGCUUUGUCAUGGAGAGUGACUAGGUGCUUUUACAUAGGAAAGUCACCUGAUAAUAUUAAAACCUGUGAAAUAUCACUCUGGUGGAAGUGUGAAUGAAUUUGAAAGGGGUGUAACACUGUUCUACUUUGUUUACUCCUCAGUACCCUUGGCUGUGUACAUUUGAGUAAAGAGAGCACUAUAAAAUCAAAAACCAAUGAAAUGGUUUCCAGAACACAGAACUAUUAAGCUUAAGAAAAGGACAGAAGGAACUGAAGAGAGAGGAACUGUUUUGGAGCAUCACACUUCCACCUCAGAAGAAAUAAGGAAGGAAGGAGGAGGGUGUUCCCACGGCUCUUCAACCAGGCCGGCUCUUCAGCCUACAUCCCCAUCUCAUCAAGUAAAAGGGAUUUUUCAACUGGACCAACCAGAUGGUUUAACAGUGCACUCCCACACCAUUCAACUACGCAAGGGAGAUACACUUAACAUAUGCAGUCGUAUAACACCUACUAACAUUUUCAAACAUUAAACCUUUAAAAAAGAGUUCUAAAGAAAUAGAAGCUUGAAGUAUCAUCUCUCAAGUAUAUAGACACUACUUCAUGGUGUGGUAAUAUAUGCAUAUAGAAGCUAGUAAACACCUCCAGGAGAUGCAAAAGGAAUUAGAACUGCCACAAGGUGCAAGCAAAACCUUGAGGUAAUCAAUCUGCAUCCCAUUUUGGAUGAGAAUAUUUGCAACUUUGAAGGUUAUUUUAAGGACAGCAGCAGAAGAAUUAUGGCAGCUUCUUUAAAAUAUGAAGACUUCGAAGUUAUUUAUCCAAACCAACCUGAUCAUUUCUUAAGAGUGAAUAUACCUUGGAAGACGUGUCCUGCCUUUAGUAGCGUCACAAUGGAUUACAUCCUCUAUAAAGCAGUCUGGGAUAUUCUGCCCAAUCAGAGGCUAACAUCUGCCACAAGACAAAUAUGGUGCCUGCCCCCAUGGAGCUCAUAUUCGAAUGGAGAAAAUGUCAACAAGUAUCCCACGGAGUGAACACUUCAAAAGGAGAAGCACAGGUGAGAAAAUCGAAUUUGGACACCGUUGAGGAGACUAUUGCAGUCAUCCAAGCUCAAGAUGGUGGAGCUUCAUCCUUGAGAAUAACCAAUGGGGAUAGAUUUAAGAGACACUUAGAGUCUGCAGCCAACAGGGCUGAAUGAGCAGAGAGUUAUGAUUCAGAAGAUCAUCUAAAAUUGAACAGCUGCCACUACUGGCAAUAAGUCUACUGCCAUUUGGUAGAUAACCUUCUUAUCACACAGAAAAAUAUCAGUACAGACAAAUAGACCGCAAAGAAAAUGAGACCAUCAGCAAAGAAGAUAAAGAAGUUUGUACAAAGCAACUUUUUAUAAAUGGAUGGCUGUCAGGCAAAAAUAAAUUUCCUGUGGACAAGACCAAGAGCAAGGCAAGAGGAAAAUAAACAUGUUUAAACU